rnacentral:misc_RNA from 1 species
GACGCGGGGGCUGGAUCGCUGGGACGGGCGAACUGCGUCGCGAGGGGGAUCGGUAUGCCCAUUGUGGUAUGGCUCUGAUUGCGUGCCCGGAUUGCCACACCGAGGUGUCGGACUUGGCGCCGGCUUGCGUGAGGUGCGGCCGCCCGUUGGCGCUCGCAACCACCGCGGGGAUUCCCGGGGUGCGGACUAUUGAGGCGACCGGGAAGCACUGGAAACGUUUGCAGCUGUGGGGCGGAUUGUCGAUGCUCCUGGGGUUUGCCUCGUGCAUGGUCGCUCCACUGGCCGAAGAGCAGCUGGCCGCAGACAGCAAAUUGUGGCUGGGCGUUGCGAUACUGACCGGCGUGCUGUCCACAGGCGGCAUUGCUGCCUAUGUGAUCGGGCGCGUCGGGGCGUGGUGGAAUCACGGGUGAGGCUAGCGCAUGCCCCUGAAACCUUACUGCGAUUGCACUGCUGAGAUUUCCGACAGUGCCCUUGGCUGCCCCGAAAGCGCCACAAGCGACGGCAUUGAGGGAUGCAACAUAUCGGCGACCACCUGGCGGGCGUGCGAUCAUGGCUCGGAUCCGACCGGUGCGGCUCGGCGCUCGCCACGUAUGACAUGACCGGCACCCGGAUUUUGCCGAGCGUGCCAACGCCAGGUCCGGGUGGGCGAUGAUUCUGAAAGAAUCGCGAAAGGGGGAAGGGAUGCAACGGUUGGUCGUACUAAUGCUCAUUGUGUUCGGCGGUGGCUGUUCCGAGUCCACCUACUUCCGCACGCUGCCACCCAACGCCAAGCUCUACAUGGAUGGGCAGUACGUGGGCACCACACCGACCGCUG